AAGAAUCAAGAACAUUAUUAGUAGCAACACUGUAAAGAUGGAUGCUUCUCCAGGCUUAGUGAUGGUGAUGUUCCUGAUACUUGGAAGGAUCCGUGGAGACUCAGUGUCCCAGAUGGAAGGCCACAUGACCAUAUCAGAAGGGGCUUUGCUGACUGUAAAUUGCACUUUCUCAGCCACAAGGUCAGGGUAUACUACUCUUUUCUGGUAUCUUCAAUACCCUGGAGAAGGUUUGCAGCUCCUCCUGAAAGCUGUGAAGGCCAAUGAUACGGUCAGCAACAAAGGUUUUGAAGCCACAUACAAGAAAGAUACAUCCUCCUUCAACUUGGAGAAAGCCUCCAUCCAAGAGUCAGACUCGGCUGUGUACUACUGUGCUCUGGGUGACACAGUGGCAGAAACUGCAGGGGGAGCUGAGCACAAACUCUGAGCAGCAACCAGGGGCCUGGCUGCUGAGCGUCUGCCUCUGGGGUUCACUCUGGUUUCAGCACAGUCAAUGGCGUGUGCUGCUCCAUUUCUCUUCUUGAUGCAAAAUCAUACAUAUGUCCCGAGCAGCAACAGAAGGAGUGAACACCCCCAACUCACCUCUUCACUAGUGAAAGUAAGAACCAAAGCUGACAGCAUUAGUUCCUCAUGCAGGGACAAAGCAAUUUUCAAGGUAAAAUCACUCUAAUGAUAAAGUGGGCUCUUUCUUUAUCCUUACAGACAAAUCCUAGACCCCAUUUGUUGUUUCAGGUCACCCUGGUAAACAUUGCUGUGGCUCAUUAAUUUUUUAGAAAGACAGAUGUGCCAGAGGUGGCAUGUGCAUAAGGUCUCCCUAACAGAGUGUGGAAGGAGAAGUGAUAGGAGAAUUAGAGUCCCCAACUCGGAAAUCCAAGAUUGCUCAUAGAGAAGGAAGGGAAGAGAAGAAAGGACAAGGAACAGACCUCUCACACAGCCCUCUGCAAUGAGAGGAAAGGGAAUUUCCUCAUGCAGACAAGUGUGACUCUUUUGGUUAAUAAGAUGU